rnacentral:lncRNA from 1 species
AUUCAACCGACCUUUCAGCAACCACAGAUUGCUCAUCAGGUGGUAUGAACUCGUUGUCCUUUCGGUUCUCAUAAUCAACCACCAUCUUCUUUGAUGAAGAAGCUUUCAAACUCUGAACCAGAUUAAGGUGAUGAUUCAUUAGCAUCUUCGUUUCAUAUGCAGCAACAAUAAAAAACAUGAUGUUUCUGGAACAAACCUGUAGCUUCUUAUCAGCACCAUGAAUAAUACUCUUCAUGAAAUCCUCGUUAUACUCGUCCUCGUACAAAUCCACGAUCGACUUGGUACGUUGAUUCUCCAGAGAAAAGGCCUUGGAUCUUUGGCUCUUUGCA